UCUGUUUAACAAGUUCUCCGUUGGUGAACCAGCGGAGGGAUCAUUACCGAGUUAUCCAACUCCCAACCCCUGUGAAUCAUACCUUUAAUUGUUGCUUCGGCGGGACUUCGCGCCCGCCGGGGACCCAAACCUUCUGAAUUUUUUAAUAAGUAUCUUCUGAGUGGUUAAAAAAAAUGAAUCAAAACUUUCAACAACGGAUCUCUUGGUUCUGGCAUCGAUGAAGAACGCAGCGAAAUGCGAUAAGUAAUGUGAAUUGCAGAAUUCAGUGAAUCAUCGAAUCUUUGAACGCACAUUGCGCCCGUCAGUAUUCUGGCGGGCAUGCCUGUUCGAGCGUCAUUACGCCCCUCAAGUCCCCUGUGGACUUGGUGUUGGGGAUCGGCGAGGCUGGUUUUCCAGCACAGCCGUCCCUUAAAUUAAUUGGCGGUCUCGCCGUGGCCCUCCUCUGCGCAGUAGUAAAGCACUCGCAACAGGAGCCCGGCGCGGUCCACUGCCGUAAAACCCCCCAACUUUUUAUAGUUGACCUCGAAUCAGGUAGGACUACCCGCUGAACUUAAGCAUA
rnacentral:rRNA from 1 species